rnacentral:rRNA from 1 species
UACGGAGGGGGCAAGCGUUGUCCGGACUUACUGGGCGUAAAGGGUGCGUAGGCGGUCUUGUGCGUCGGUGCUGAAAGCGCCCGGCUUAACCGGGCGAGGCGUGCCGAUACGACGAGACUUGAGGGGCAGCGAGGGUGGCGGAACUCCUGGUGUAGUGGUGAAAUGCGUAGAGAUCAGGAAGAACACCCGUGGCGAAAGCGGCCACCUGGCUGCCAACUGACGCUGAGGCACGAGAGCGUGGGGAGCGAACAGG